rnacentral:rRNA from 1 species
UACGUAGGGUGCAAGCGUUGUCCGGAAUUAUUGGGCGUAAAGAGCUCGUAGGCGGUCUGUCACGUCGGCUGUGAAAACCCGAGGCUCAACCUCGGGCCUGCAGUCGAUACGGGCAAACUAGAGUACUGCAGGGGAGACUGGAAUUCCUGGUGUAGCGGUGAAAUGCGCAGAUAUCAGGAGGAACACCGGUGGCGAAGGCGGUUCUCUGGGAAUAUCCUGACGCUGAGGAGCGAAAGUGUGGGGAGCGAACAGG